rnacentral:rRNA from 1 species
GACAUAGGUGGCGAACGUUAUCCGGAUUUAUUGGGCGUAAAGGAUGCGUAGAUGGUGGAAUAAGUUAUUGGUCGAGGUCAAGCUCAACUUGGCGGAAACUAGCAAUACUGUUCUACUUGAGGACAGGAGAGGUUGGCGGAAUUCUGUGUGGAGCGGUGAAAUGCGUUGAUCUACAGAGGAACACCAAAAAGGGCGAAGGCAGCCAACUAUUCUGUUCCUGACAUUGAGGCAUGAAAGCGUGGGGAGCAAACCGG